rnacentral:sRNA from 1 species
CGAAUAUCUAGAGCAGGUGGUGCAGUAUUCUAGUCGGGACAGCCGGCUUUGAAGGCGGGCCUAAAAAUCCGUCGCGGGCAGCGAUGAAGUUCCCGGUGCUGGCUUCUGACGCCCAGUUGGGGGCUUGUACUGGGAGUUAAGGGGGAAGGGCAAUCUACAAAGGCAUGUAGAUGUCGACCCUUCCCCCGCGGAGGCCCAGAUACGUGGGAUGAAUACCACGCUCUGGGUUGACCCUGUGGCAGUCGAGAACCAUGCUACAGGGUAGCCCGGCCUUGAGUGGUAAUGGUGGAUAACAGCAUGAUCUUCCUCUCCCGAGGGGCCCUAGGGAUGAGGAAGAAGGUGUUUGAAACCAUUACUGCAAAAGAGGCUAGAAGCUGGCUGAGCCCGUCGAGGAAAGCUCCUAGACUGUCUACCUACGGGUAGCGCCUGCCAGGGAUUAAAGUGUGGUCUAAGUGGUAGUCUAGCCCUGUUUUCGGCGACGAAACAGAACGGGCUUAAAGGGGAACCACCAAAACGGCGACGUUUUGGCGCCCGUUUGGGAAAACCUGCUAGACCUAAGCCACAAUAUUUACCUGGCAGGUGACCACCUGCUCGUUCUGGAAA